rnacentral:rRNA from 1 species
UUCUGAACGCUGGCGGCGUGCCUAAUACAUGCAAGUCGAGCGAACGGACGAGAAGCUUGCUUCUCUGAUGUUAGCGGCGGACGGGUGAGUAACACGUGGAUAACCUACCUAUAAGACUGGGAUAACUUCGGGAAACCGGAGCUAAUACCGGAUAAUAUUUUGAACCGCAUGGUUCAAAAGUGAAAGACGGUCUUGCUGUCACUUAUAGAUGGAUCCGCGCUGCAUUAGCUAGUUGGUAAGGUAACGGCUUACCAAGGCAACGAUGCAUAGCCGACCUGAGAGGGUGAUCGGCCACACUGGAACUGAGACACGGUCCAGACUCCUACGGGAGGCAGCAGUAGGGAAUCUUCCGCAAUGGGCGAAAGCCUGACGGAGCAACGCCGCGUGAGUGAUGAAGGUCUUCGGAUCGUAAAACUCUGUUAUUAGGGAAGAACAUAUGUGUAAGUAACUGUGCACAUCUUGACGGUACCUAAUCAGAAAGCCACGGCUAACUACGUG